rnacentral:piRNA from 1 species
UGCGUGCUGUACAAAAAGAUGGCUGCCA